GUCUAUGGCCAUACCACCCUGAACGUGCCUGAUCUCAUCUGAUCUCAGAAGUUGAGCAGGGUCGGCCUGGUUAGUACUUGAAUGGGAGACUGCCUCAGAAUACCGUGUACUAUAGGCU
rnacentral:rRNA from 1 species